rnacentral:tRNA from 1 species
CAGGAAGUAGUUUAAUUAGAAUAUCGGCUUUGGGUGUCGAUGGUAGGGCGUAGUGCUUUCUUCCUGA